rnacentral:tRNA from 1 species
GGGGCGGUAGUUAAGUGGGUUAUAACGCCGGCCUGUCACGCCGGAGGACGCGGGUUCGAGUCCCGUCCGCCCCG